rnacentral:tmRNA from 1 species
GGGGGCGUAACGGAUUCGACGGGAUCGAAUCGUUGUGGAGAGGCGUGCCGGGUUCCGAGCUCCCGUAAAACGAUCGGAAAACCAAAACUGCCAACAAUCAGCAGUUUGCAUACGCUGCUUAAUUAAUUAAGGAGCGCGCCCGGGAUAGUGGGCUUGCACAUUAUCCAGAGGGCGUCAUUUCGCAGGCUGGGUGUAAGGCUUCUGCUCGUAGCCGAAAGCCGAGAUCAAUCGGGCUAAGCGGUCCCGUUCUUCGCUGGUUUUUUACGGGAUAGCCGACAAUUACCGAACCAGAUACGCACGUAGGCUUUUCAUGGCGGGCUUUCUCGGACCCGGGUUCAACUCCCGGCGCCUCCACCA